rnacentral:rRNA from 1 species
GCUGCAUGGCUGUCGUCAGCUCGUGUCGUGAGAUGUUGGGUUAAGUCCCGCAACGAGCGCAACCCCCGCCGUUAGUUGCCAGCGGUUCGGCCGGGCACUCUAACGGGACUGCCCGCGAAAGCGGGAGGAAGGAGGGGACGACGUCUGGUCAGCAUGGCCCUUACGGCCUGGGCGACACACGUGCUACAAUGCCCACUACAAAGCGAUGCCACCCGGCAACGGGGAGCUAAUCGCAAAAAGGUGGGCCCAGUUCGGAUUGGGGUCUACAACCCGACCCCAUGAAGCCGGAAUCGCUAGUAAUCGCGGAUCAGCCAUGCCGCGGUGAAUACGUUCCCGGGCCUU